GACGAACGCUGGCGGCGUGCCUAACACAUGCAAGUCGAGCGAACAGACGAGGAGCUUGCUCCUCUGACGUUAGCGGCGGACGGGUGAGUAACACGUGGAUAACCUACCUAUAAGACUGGGAUAACUUCGGGAAACCGGAUCUAAUACCGGAUAAUAUAUUGCACCGCAUGGUUCAAUAGUGAAAGACGGUUUUGCUGUCUCUUAUAGAUGGAUCCGGGCCGCAUUAGCUAGUUGGUGGGGUAACGGCUUACCACGGCAACUAUGCGUAGCCGACCUGAGAGGGUGAUCGCCCACACGGGAGCGGAGCCAGCGACCAGAGUCCUAAGGGAGGCACCAGUAGGGAAUGUGCGGCAGUGGGCGAGAGCAUUACGCAACAAGGCGGAGUGAGAGACAAAAGCGUCGGGAUCGUAAAGACGUGUUAUGGGGUGUAAACAAAUUUGGAAUGAAAUGAGCCGGGCGUGACGGUACCUGGUCAAAAAGCCCCGGCUAACUACGUG
rnacentral:rRNA from 1 species